rnacentral:rRNA from 1 species
CCAGACUCCUACGGGAGGCAGCAGUGGGGAAUAUUGGGCAAUGGGCGCAAGCCUGACCCAGCAACGCCGCGUGAAGGAAGAAGGCUUUCGGGUUGUAAACUUCUUUUCUCAGGGACGAAGAAAGUGACGGUACCUGAGGAAUAAGCCACGGCUAACUACGUGCCAGCAGCCGCGGUAAUACGUAGGUGGCAAGCGUUAUCCGGAUUUAUUGGGUGUAAAGGGCGUGUAGGCGGGAGCGCAAGUCAGAUGUGAAAACUCAGGGCUCAACCCUGAGCCUGCAUUUGAAACUGUGUUUCUUGAGUGCUGGAGAGGCAAUCGGAAUUCCGUGUGUAGCGGUGAAAUGCGUAGAUAUCAGGAGGAACACCGGCGGCGAAGGCGGCCUGCUGGACCGCGACUGACGUUGAGGCUCGAAAGCGUGGGGAGCGAACAGGAUUAGAUACCCGUGUAU